rnacentral:rRNA from 1 species
AUUGAACGCUGGCGGCAUGCCUUACACAUGCAAGUCGAAUGGCAGCACGGGUGCUUGCACCUGGUGGCGAGUGGCGAACGGGUGAGUAAUACAUCGGAACGUACCUUAUCGUGGGGGAUAACGCAGCGAAAGCUGUGCUAAUACCGCAUACGCCCUGAGGGGGAAAGCGGGGGAUCGAAAGACCUCGCGCGAUUAGAGCGGCCGAUGCCUGAUUAGCUUGUUGGUGGGUAAAAGCCCACCAAGGCGACGAUCAGUAGCUGGUCUGAGAGGACGAUCAGCCACACGGGGACUGGGACACGGCCCAGACUCCUACGGGAGGCAGCAGUGGGGAAUUUUGGACAAUGGGGGCAACCCUGAUCCAGCAAUGCCGCGUGAGUGAAGAAGGCCUUCGGGUUGUAAAGCUCUUUUGUCGGGGAAGAAACACCGGCUCUAACACAGUCCGGGAAUGACGGUACCUGAAGAAUAAGCACCGGCUAACUACGUGCCAGCCGCCGCCGUAA